rnacentral:lncRNA from 1 species
UGUAGUUGGAAAAGGACAAAAUUUUGGAGAAUGUGUGGUUAAAAAGAAGAGAGAAAAUAAUGUAUUAUAAAUUUAAUGGGGCUCAAAUGGAGGCUUGCUGGAAAAUAACUAAAUGCACAGCUGGUUUAUACAGGUUUUGACUAAAUUUUGCUGCAAACUGUUGAUCCACAAAUAAGAUAAUCUUGUUGGCAAUAGCACUUGCAUACCCGACAUGACCUUCACAAAUCUGGAAUUCACAUUUGAUCACGGCAAGAGCAGACAAAUUUCGUUACUAUGCCAACUUGAAUACUGCUAUUAGAUUGAUGGAAAUAGUUCGAGAGAGUUGGAUGUGGAAACCGCGAUCAACAAAUUGAAGAGUGAAAACCGAAACACUGAUUGAAGAUCUCGAACCAGGUGUAGAAAAUCAGAAGAUGGAUGCUGGAAAACGUGAAAACACGAUGUCUUGAAAGCAAUAUUUGCCUGCUCUAAAUCUUGAGAUUUCAUUAGAGAUUCACCAGCAAAUAUCUUGAGAUUUCUUAAUAGUCUAACCAGCGAAUAGCUAGAGAAUUAGUCAAGCGUUUGGCGGGUUUAUGAUGAGCAAAACUGUAAACUCACAAGAGGAAUAACAAAAAAUUAUAAUUUCUGAAUUUAAGGUUUUUCAAAUUUUGGAAAGAUGUUUAUCAUCAAGAUACAAUUUUUUGGCCCCUUUCUUCUGCUGUACCAAGCUUUCUAUCAACAUUUUUUUAUACUGAAUUGUGAGGAGUGGCAGCUUUUUUCCUAAUUCGUCAUCUGGGUAAAUUCGGAUGUGGUCAUAACUUAUCCACAUUUGGAUCGGACAUUCGAGAUGCGAUUUUUCUCCAUGUGGCCCUCCCUUUACGAUGUGCAGACAUGAUCUUUAGAGGGACAACAAAGUGCACCAUAACUUUGUCUACAUAGUGCAUAUGCCUUGCAACAUAAAUGUUGAGUGGAUGAAAUCAUGUAUCAAGACGUGCUUUGCUGCCUAGAAUUCAAUCUGACUUUUUAUUUUCAACCAUCUUGCUCUUUUGGCUUGUAAUCUAUCGUACAUUGACCUAUAAUCCUCUUUAUUGUUUAAACAAUGCUGAUAAAUGUGUUUUAUAUGCUUAUCCCUAC